GACGAACGCUGGCGGCGUGCCUAAUACAUGCAAGUCGAACGAAGCUGUUUUAACUGGUGCUUGCACCGACUUAAACAACUGAGUGGCGAACGGGUGAGUAACACGUGCGUAACCUGCCCCGAAGCGGGGGAUAACAUUUGGAAACAGAUGCUAAUACCGCAUAACCACAGAAACCACAUGGUUUCUGUGUCAAAGAUGGUUUCGGCUAUCACUUUGGGAUGGACCCGCGGCGUAUUAGCUAGUUGGUAAGGUAAUGGCUUACCAAGGCAAUGAUACGUAGCCGAACUGAGAGGUUGAUCGGCCACAUUGGGACUGAGACACGGCCCAAACUCCUACGGGAGGCAGCAGUAGGGAAUCUUCCACAAUGGACGAAAGUCUGAUGGAGCAACGCCGCGUGAGUGAAGAAGGUUUUCGGAUCGUAAAACUCUGUUGUCAGAGAAGAACGUGUGCGAGAGUAACUGCUCGUGCAGUGACGGUAUCUGGCCAGAAAGCCACGGCUAACUACGUGCCAGCAGCCGCGGUAA
rnacentral:rRNA from 1 species